UACGUAGGGGGCAAGCGUUGUCCGGAUUUAUUGGGCGUAAAGAGCGUGUAGGCGGCCAGGUAGGUCCGUUGUGAAAACUGGAGGCUUAACCUCCAGCUGUCGAUGGAAACCAUCUGGCUAGAGUCCGGAAGAGGAGAGUGGAAUUCCUGGUGUAGCGGUGAAAUGCGCAGAUAUCAGGAAGAACACCCGUGGCGAAGGCGGCUCUCUGGGACGGUACUGACGCUGAGACGCGAAAGCGUGGGAGCGAACAGG
rnacentral:rRNA from 1 species